CAGCAAAGGGCGGAGACGCGGCGCAGGUCGGGACGCUUCCCCCCAUUUCCCGGCGCUGCCCGUCACCAGGUAUCUCUAAUGAAGAAAAGACGAGCUGCAGAAGGAUGGUCUUUAUGGACCGAUCAAAAUCCCGCGGGACUCAGCGAGCUGGCAUGAUGGAGGACUGACGGGAAAAUGUGCUGUUAUCUGAUGGCAUCCUCGAUAAGGCACAAAAUACAGGGAGGUAGUUGGAAGUCCCAUGUUGUUCUUGGCUACGCCCAGCACCUUCGUGUCUUAGGGAUCUGAGAUGGAAUCAAGACAAAUUCUCAAGUUUUGGUUUUUCUGACCAAGUCAGGAGCGUGACUAAAGGCCUUUUCAUGUGGAUGAUGAAGAAGAACCUGAGCACAGCUUAGCAUCAUCCCUCAGCCCCUCACUUCUUAAGAUAGAGGGCCAUGGUGCGGAGUUGCUGCUGCCCUUGGCCGUGCGACUAUUGAUUCACGGUCACAGUGACUCCGGCAUCUCAUAGGGCAGGUCCUUGACUGAUUGGGAAGGCCAAGACAAGGCAAGUGAUUUCAGGUCUUGUAGGCCAGCCUCCCCACUGAUAGAUGACCAUACCUACCCACACAGGCUGGCUGGGCAGAUCAAUACCUUAAGAGCAGGAGAGUGAGUCGAGGAAACCAGUUGUGCUACUGAGACACAAGGUGCACAGUCUAGCUGAUGUAUCUCAGAUAUACCUCAAAGGUUCUGCGUGGAAGUCAUACCGGAAUAGCCACGUGGACAACACACAUCCUAGCACUGAAAUAUAUAUCACUCAUAUGAAUAUAAUGAUAAUUCAAACAUUAAAAGCUGGCUAGAAACAAAACAAUUUCAAGCUACCUUUCUUACUUGGGGAUUUUAGAACAGGGUUUUAUGGUACAAUAUUAGGGUACAGUUCCCCUCCUGGAGUUCCACCCUGUAUGAAUCACGUUUAUCUAUUAGUCUCAGCUCCAAACACAAACCACUCUCACUGCCUGCUUAUUAUAUUGUAUUUGUCAAGCUUUUAUUUCUACUUCCUAUCUACCUAUAGAGUUUUAUUACCUCUCAAUUGCUCCAUGUACACAAUUCAUUUGUUAAUAAAACCGGUUGAUGACAAAA